rnacentral:rRNA from 1 species
UGAGGGAAUAUUGGGUCAAUGGGCGUGAGCCUGAACCAGCCAAGUAGCGUGAGGGAUGACAGCCCUAUGGGUUUUAAACCUCUUUUGUUCGGGAAUAAAGUCAGGUACGUGUACCUGUUUGUAUGUACCGUUCGAAUAAGCAUCGGCUAACUCCGUGCCAGCAGCCGCGGUAAUACGGAGGAUGCGAGCGUUAUCCGGAUUUAUUGGGUUUAAAGGGUGCGCAGGCGGCGCGCCAAGUCAGCGGCCAAAGUUCCGGGCUCAACCCGGUGUCGCCGUUGAAACUGGCGUGCUCGAGUGCGUGCGAGGAAGGCGGAAUGCGUUGUGUAGCGGUGAAAUGCAUAGAUAUGACGCAGAACUCCGAUUGCGAAGGCAGCUUUCCAGCGCGCUACUGACGCUGAGGCACGAAAGCGUGGGGAUCGAACAGGAUUAGAUACCCUGGUAGU